rnacentral:rRNA from 1 species
UGCCAGCAGCCGCGGUAACACGUAAGGGGCGAGCGUUGUUCGGAAUUAUUGGGCGUAAAGGGCGUGCAGGCGGUCGUGCAAGUCUGGUGUGAAAGGUUGGAGCUUAACUCCAAACGCGCGCUGGAAACUGCAGGACUUAUGAGUGCCGGAGAGGAAGCUAGAAUUCCAGGUGUAGGGGUGAAAUCUGUAGAUAUCUGGAAGAAUACCGGUGGCGAAGGCGAGCUUCUGGCCGAGCACUGACGCUGAGGCGCGAAAGCGUGGGGAGCAAACAGGAUUAGAUACCCUGGUAGUCCACGCUGUAAACGAUGUACACUAGGUGUUGGGGAGUUAUCCCUGGUGCCGGAGCUAACGUGUUAAGUGUACCGCCUGGGGAGUAUGCUCGCAAGGGUGAAACUCAAAGGAAUUGACGGGGGCCCGCACAAGG